GCAGGGAUGGCGGAGUGGUCAAACGCACCAGACUGUAAAUCUGGCAUCUUACGAUUACGGGGGUUCGAGUCCCUCUCCCUGCACCA
rnacentral:tRNA from 1 species